UAGCUCAGUGGAUAGAGUUAAAGCUCCACUUUGAGACAUCAGCUCUGGCAGAGAAAUGCCACAAAGCAACAAUUUUAAGUGAUUUAUACACGGGCACAAAUUAUUUGUACCUUAUAUUUUUAAAACCCAUUCUUGAAGUGAUGCAACGGAUCAAUAAAAACCUUCAGUCAAAUAAGUCAAACCCGACUAAGCUAUUGGGCGACUUAAUAUUUGGAAUAAAUUACCUUCGCUCAAAGGUAAUACCACCUGACUGCGAAAUUAAUAUUCUAGAAGAACCAUUUGAGACCCAUACAAAACGUGAUUUAUAUCUAGGAUACGAGUUUGAAACUCAUUUUAAAAAAAAUCAAAAACAACAUCGAUGAUGAGGCAGAGUUGACUAUUCGUCAACAUUGCACGAAAUUCAUUAUUGAAUUAAUUUGUCAACUGAAGCAUAGAUUGCCAGAUAACUUCAAAAUCUUGAAAAAUAUAGAUAUUUUCUCAGUCGAAAAUAUUUUGCGAGCUAACAAACAAUCGAUAGUAGAAAUUUUGGAGAUCUUUGAUAAAAAAGGCGAAGAAAUUGAAAAAAUUGUUUGUCAAUACAAUACAAUUCAUCUUCAGCGAUGGGAAAACCAAGAGAACACGGUAGCGUUUUGGGCAGAAGUGAAAACGUUUAUGGAUUCUGCUGGCAACAGACAGUUUCAAGAUUUGGCAGUAUUUGCCUUAAAUUUGUUGUCGCUGCCAUGGUCGAAUGCGGAAGUGGAGCGCGUGUUCAGCCAAGUUAACUUGGUGAAAACAAAGUUAAGGAACAGGCUUCACAUCGAUACGCUAAAUUAGAUUUUGGCAGUUAGAUUUGGAUUACGUCGAAACGGAACUUGCUGCCAUAACUAUGAAGUGCCUGAAAAAUUUUUGCGCCAAAUCGGCACAAACAUCAAUGUUUUAGAAUCUGAAAAUGAAACACUCGACGAAGUGUUAAUAAAUUUGCAUGAAAAUGUAUAAAUUUA